UGCUGGUCGUGGUCUUAUCUAUUAUUCUUUCUGUCCCAGUUGUCUGGAACUACUUGUUAAUACCUUUGUCCCCAAAGCCCCACAAUCCCAGAAGCAGCUCUAGUUAAUAUAGAGGAUUGAAAGGGGAGGGUACACGCUUGUCUUGGAGUCCACAGAGCAAGCUCACAGUUUUUGCUUACAUUGCUUAUUUAAGGUGCCUCUGAAACGAGCUACAGGAGAUUAUGGGGGGCACCCAGCCCCCCUCGGGCUCCUUCCUGGUGCACAUUCCCCUCUAGCUCACCCUCUGAAAGUUUAAAGACCCUGUUUCCUCUAACAGGAUGUUCUGCGCUCUUAUCCACCCUCGAAAAUUUGUAUUCAUUGUUCAGAAUUCGGCCCAGACCUUGCCUCCUCCUCCCUGAAGACUCUCCAGAAAGAAUUACUCCCUUUGACUUCGGUCCCUGCACGCGUACACACUAUUAUAUACACCGUCACAAGGCGGUGUAGAUAUUGCUUCCUGGGUUCGACCCCCGUGGACUGUGAACUGAGUUCCCGCCGCGUCUUUCGGUCCUCAAGGUUCACACAGCCUUUCUUCUACUUCUGUAAUCCGACAUCUAGAAUCAUCUAUCAACUUCGACGAACGGGCUAGACAUUCAAUAACUGCUUGUGGAAAUGAAACCAAAAGGAGAACCGAGACUUCACGUCGCCAGGCUCCUGACUCACUUCCGCCCGGAGUGCAGCCUAGCCACCUGCCUAACCCACUUACGGGGCCCCGCGUCUCAGAGGCCCGGUUCCGCCCGCAGCUUUCGCGCGGGCCACCUGCCGCGGGGUCGGGACUGCACCGGCGAGCAGGUGGCCAGCAGAGCGCAGUUAUGCAGGGCCGAGUCUGGCCAGUGCCUGGCAGGUGAGCAGAGGAAGGAAUUCUGACUCCCAGUCUGAUCUGCGUCCUGGACUUGAUGGAGCCAGACAAGUCCAUAGGAAGGAGGGGGUUACCCUGGAGUCUUUCCCGGAAUCACGGCGCGGGCGGAACUUCCCCUGGGGAGUAAGUAUGGAAUACUUUUGUUAUCAGAAAAAAAUAAACAUUUUGGGGAGAAAUUCUAGGUGGCAAGAUGGAAGAGUUUUAACAAAGGCCUGGACGCACAGAGGAGGUGAGUGGGAAGACCUCAUCGAUCUCACAGCCUGUCCUACUGCAGCUGUGGGGAGAAGCAAAAGUGGGAGGGGUGACACCAGCUUGGACAUGAGCAGUGUCCAUGACAGGGCUUGAGGUGGUGGCUUGUGGUUCCAGGACUCCUUCUGCUGGGGGAGUCUGACCCAGUGUCGCCCAUGGACAGAGAAACUAUGGAUGUAGUCAGGCGCCAGUAGCUCUGUGACUAGGCUGAUUACUAAGAUUGACGAUCAGGACUUCUAGAGUUUCUACAGUGAUUUCCUAUACGUUAUUUCUUUUGAUCCUUAUAGCAACUGAGAUAAGGACCAUUAUUACCCCAUGGCAUCAACAAGGAAAAUGAAUCUGUAUUAGUAAAGGUAACACUAGAUGCAGUAACACCCAAAAUUAUCAAUGGCUCAACACAGUAAGUUUUUUCCCUAGUCACAGAACAGUCAUGUCUACAGACCACUUCUGGUGUGGUGGCCUUUCACAUGGCAUUUGGGGACCCAAGUCCCUUCCACCUAGAGGAGGUGCUCAGAGCCUUCUCUUCCCCUCCAGCAGGUAGGGAGAAGCCUGUGGAGGUUACAACUGGCCAGGCCUGGAUGUGGCAUAUGUGCCUUCCAUGUACAUCCCAUUGGCUAGAAUCAGUCCCGGGACCGCUGCUAGCUUCCCGUGCCUAGGAGAAAGGAAGCUAUCUGAGGGAGAGCUAGCAAUCUCUGCCAGAGUCCAAAGAGCGUAAAGUCAUUGGCUGAAGGUCACACAGCUAGUAAGAGACACAGCAAAGAUUCCAAAUCAGGGCUGAGUCUCAGUGUUGUCCAUCUUGAGGCUCUGCCCUCUUCCAGACCCUCGAAGUCCUUUCCCCUCCGGAAUGUUCUCUAGUCUCCUGCUACUAGCAUCCAUCUAGGGCACUGAGGCUGAAGUGGUCAUUGGGGAGGGUAAGAAAGCCUGAUGAAAACAUGUUAAAUAUAGUUUUGAGGCUUCCCAGACCUGUCAAUAAUCCUUGUGCAAUCUUUUCUUCCCAGGUUUUCCUGCUUUGAUUAACUUCUGCAACUCCCCAUUAAACAUUAAAAGUGAAGCAGACACCAGUUUUAAGGCCGUUUUCAUUACUGUGCUUAUGACGUAUGCCAUCAUUUAUGGGUUGUUUUUGCAAGGCUUCAGAGGCUCCUCCCUGUGUCUCGGCCGCUUACAGCAGUCGGAUCUGCUGCCUGGCGGGGGACGGUGCUCGGCUCUGCCCCUGUUCUGACGGAAACACGAGGAAUCAGGCAGGAAGACACUACACUUGAGCUCAUAGUUCACAGGAUGAAUGCUUAUUGGAAAUACUGGAAUUUCUGGGGCCAGCUCUCCAAAAUGCAGUAAGAAUUUAUCACGGUCUCCACCCACCUCCUGACAAGGGCUGGAGGACAUCAGUAUAGGAGGGAGAGAACGUGCCACCUGGAAUCAGAGACCUGAGUAGCAGUCCCACCACACACCAGCUGUCGCACUUCAUGCAGCUUCUCCGCUCUGAGCCUCGGGUUCCUUAACUGUGAACUGGAGAUACCCAUGAUAUGCCGACUUCCCUCACCAUCCUGUGAGAUCUGAUGGAGUGGAGCCCACUGCAAAUUGUACAGUUCUGUGUGAUUGUUUUUACUAUCCAAACCACAAUCCAUUGCCCGGCAGUUCUUCAAAUAGGAGACAGAUUUCCUUCCCUUGGCGAUGAUCAUGACUAAUAUAUUCCGGGAUGUGUUGCAUUUUCCUGGCCUUAAAAUAAAACUGAGCCAAACAAG